CCUACGGGAGGCAGCAGUGGGGAAUUUUGGACAAUGGGCGCAAGCCUGAUCCAGCCAUGCCGCGUGUCUGAAGAAGGCCUUCGGGUUGUAAAGGACUUUUGUCAGGGAAGAAAAGGACAGGGUUAAUACCCCUGUCUGAUGACGGUACCUGAAGAAUAAGCACCGGCUAACUACGUGCCAGCAGCCGCGGUAAUACGUAGGGUGCGAGCGUUAAUCGGAAUUACUGGGCGUAAAGCGGGCGCAGACGGUUACUUAAGCAGGAUGUGAAAUCCCCGGGCUCAACCUGGGAACUGCGUUCUGAACUGGGUGACUAGAGUGUGUCAGAGGGAGGUAGAAUUCCACGUGUAGCAGUGAAAUGCGUAGAGAUGUGGAGGAAUACCGAUGGCGAAGGCAGCCUCCUGGGAUAACACUGACGUUCAUGCCCGAAAGCGUGGGUAGCAAACAGGAUUAGAUACCCUGGUAGUCCACGCCCUAAACGAUGUCGAUUAGCUGUUGGGCAGCUUGACUGCUUAGUAGCGAAGCUAACGCGUGAAAUCGACCGCCUGGGGAGUACGGUCGCAAGAUUAAAACUCAAAGGAAUUGACGG
rnacentral:rRNA from 2 species